rnacentral:misc_RNA from 1 species
CAGAGAUCGUGCCCUCGCGGGUAGACCUCCCACCCUGUGUUAUUUACUCUUGUUGCUUUGGCAGGCCGCCUUUGGGCUCUCGGCUCCGGCUGGGGUGCGCCUGCCAGAGGACCCCAACUCUGUGUUUAGUGUCGUCUGAGUAUCAUAUAAUAAGUUA